CUAAAUUGAAAAAUAUUCUGUUCUUAUAAAUUUAGAGGUAAAAUGACCUGACCCGCUUAACAAUAAUAAUUUGUUAGGUCCAAAUUAAAUAAUCGACUCCAAAAUAAGUAAGCCGAAUUAUUAUUACUAAGACAUAUGGCCUUUUUUAUUCCCAAUUAGAAUUCGUUUUUCCUUCAAUAUGAGACUAUUAUUAAUUACUAAGGCGUAUUGCUUUUUAUAUUUUCAAUCAGAAUAUUCUUUUCACUCAAUGUGAGACUUAUUAUUAAGGUGUAUGGCCUUUUAUAUAUAUUCUCAAUCAGAAUCUUUUUUUAUCCAAUGUGAGGUUACUAGGGUGUUAAAAAAUUCUCUCAUUAAUUUAGACCUUGAAGGCUCAAAUCCCAAUCACAAGUGUAGAUUAGAAUUGUCAAGCAAUAUGAUAUUUUAAAAGUGGCUCCUACGGAUUCAAGAGAUGAUUUCUAUCAAACUAAUAGUGUAGCAAUUUGCCUCGCAUAUUACUAAACUCUUACACUUUUAGCUGAUAAUCGUCUCUGAUACUAACUGCAAUGACCCAAUUUGCUAACAAUUAUAACCCAUUGCACCUAAACCGCCCGCCCAGAAUGUUUAAACUUAGUUAUUAUUAUUAAAGUGGGUGGUCUCUUAUAUUUCCAAUCAGAACUCCUUUUUCAUCUGAUGUAGGAUUAUUGGGGUGUUACAAAUAAAAGUUUUGCAUGUUUAGGGGGGUAUUAGUGAUAGUUUGAUGAUUAGUCAGGUACAGAUAAUAUUUUAGAUUUUGGAGGAAAAUUUAUGAUAUCUUUUAUAGGGGUAAUUGAUUUGAAAUUG
rnacentral:lncRNA from 1 species